UUCUGAGUAGCUCAGUUGGUAAAGAAUCUGCCUGCAAUGCAGGAGACCCGGGUUCUAUCCCUGGGUUGGGAA
rnacentral:tRNA from 1 species